rnacentral:rRNA from 1 species
UACGUAGGGGGCGAGCGUUGUCCGGAUUUAUUGGGCGUAAAGAGCGUGUAGGCGGCCAGGUAGGUCCGUUGUGAAAACUCGAGGCUCAACCUCGAGACGUCGGCGGAAACCCUCUGGCUAGAGUCCGGAAGAGGAGAGUGGAAUUCCUGGUGUAGCGGUGAAUGCGCAGAUAUCAGGAAGAACACCCGUGGCGAAGGCGGCUCUCUGGGCCUUACCUGACGCUGAGGAGCGAAAGCGUGGGGAGCGAACAGG